UACCUUUAACAUUGUAGGCUCGGCCAUAUAAAUAAGAAUAGGAUAAAUAGAUUAGCUAAAGAGAGAAUCUUCGAUAUUAAUGAUUGUGAAUCAUUGCCAACCUACUAGUCUUGUCUACUUGGAAAGAUAACCAAGUCAUCCUUUAUUGGAAAGGAUGAGCGAGCCAAUGAUGAUCUAGGUCUAGUACACAAUGAUAUAUAUGGACCGAUGAACAUAGCAGCC
rnacentral:lncRNA from 1 species